ensembl:ncRNA lncRNA:CR45196 long non-coding RNA:CR45196
AUUCGCAUCUUAAAAAAAAUAAGGCGAAUGCGAAGAAGGGACAGAAGAAACAAAAGAGGAAGCAGAAUGCACCACAUGCAGGGAAACAACACAAACCAAGGCAAGUGAAACAAUGAGCAAACUUAAUGCAACAAAAACAACAACAGCGCAGAAGAAUCGUUUUUACCCUUUUCCCAUUCUCUCUCUCUCUGUCUUCUCCUACCCGCUGCUUUUCUUCUGUUCCCCUUUUUAUUCCAUUCCAUUCCGUUCCGCCCGGCUGUUAAGCGCAAAUCAAUGACCUACGACAUCAACAAGAGCGCGUCAAACACACACGCAAAGCCAUAAGUGGAAGCAAGAGAGCGGAGAGAUAGUUCUGGAAGAGAGAAGCGCGCGGGACAGGGACAGCACGUGGCAGGUGGGCCCAGCAGGGGGAGAGAGAUAACUAGAGGGAAGGAUGCAAGGAGUUUGGCGAAAUAUUGCCGAUGCCUGCGUUUCUUUACCCCCCACAAACUGGCGUAGUAGUAGCAGCUCGAAAAACAAGGGUAAGAUAAAGGACAUCAACAACGGAACAGAAACCCCAAGAACAACAACAACAAGUUUGCGAAAACUCUCUUUUGCACAACUUUACUUUACCUCCAGCCAGGAGGUCUUUAUUUUGUUACUAUUAUUCCGACUGGUCCUCGCAUAAAUGUAAUAAAUAUCUUUCUCCUCUUCUUCUGCUGGUUCUACGCUCAGAGAGAGAGAGAGAGAGAGAGAGAGAGAGAUUUCAAAGUUGAUGCAAAGUAAACCGAAAAAAGGGUGACACAAGAAACAAAAAG